rnacentral:rRNA from 1 species
UACGUAGGGGGCAAGCGUUGUCCGGAAUCAUUGGGCGUAAAGAGCGUGUAGGCGGCCCGGUAAGUCCGCUGUGAAAGUCCAGGGCUCAACCCUGGGAUGCCGGUGGAUACUGUCGGGCUCGAGUCCGGAAGAGGAGUGUGGAAUUCCUGGUGUAGCGGUGAAAUGCGCAGAUAUCAGGAGGAACACCGAUGGCGAAGGCAGCUCGCUGGGACGGUACUGACGCUGAGGCGCGAAAGCGUGGGGAGCAAACAGG